UCUUCGGGACUCAUUGUGAAACCUCACACGACCUUUCAUACCAAAUGCUAAGGCUGCUAGUUUUAGCGCUUGCAUUCUAUUGACGACAUUCUUCUGACCACAGUUUAGUUUUGCUUUUGCCUUAAAUUAACUAUAUUAACCGUCUGAGCACCAACUCAAGAAAGAAGAAAACUUCAGUUUAGUGAUACUGUUUCAGCAGAUGCAAAUAUGCAGAGGAAAACCCUGGGGUUUGCGUUCAGUCUGCUCUUGUGGAGUGUGCGUGUACUCACUGAAGGACUGAUGAACGACUGUCUGGAAGUUGGAAGCAGUGGUUUAUUCCCAUGCACAAACAGCUUAUCCAAUGAGUCAGUGCUUAUGGUUUGUAUUGUGCAAAGGACUGAUGGCAAUAUGUGCAAAAUCAUAUUGGACCUUGACACUUAUGAAUUAGUCAGCACAUGUGACCCCAGGAUGUCAUUUAACAUAACUGGGCUCACAGUAUUCCUUAGCAUCAGCAACAUACAGCAGGCCGAUGAAGGAAAUUACUCCUGUGAACAUGCUUACAGUGGUGGGAUGAAUGUAACUGACUUUAACAUCUGUGUAUCAGAAAGCUGGCAGAAAAAAACCAAGGAAGCAGAUGGUGGUCUCCAUCUUGUGAUGUUUCUGAGCUCUGUAACAUCUAUAGCCACAGUUUGGGUUAUUUUCCUAAUCCUAAGGAGAAGACAGGAGAUCCGAAACAAGACAGAAAAGGAAUUGAAGAAUACUGAACUUGAAUAAAUAUUUGGAGCAAUACACAGACAAUCUUCUUGGCACUGAUUGUUACAGUCUUUUUGUGGCAUGAGCAGCGGUGUGUGCUCUCGUUUUGUCUUCCCUUCCACUAGGUGGAGCCCCUCCAAGAUCGUGAGCAGUGCAGUUUUGAUGUGAUGUACUUUUGUGUGCGCUUUGUGACUAACAUUGUAAGGUGGUAGCACAUAUCCAAUGCCAGUCAACCCAUUACGCAACAUAGGCAACACAGCCCACCUCUGGCACCAUCUUCUAAGGCAGUGGUGACUUUAUAAGCCAAUUUCACUUUGUUUUGGAUGGUGUGUGUGAAACUUGCCUGGGGGUGGGAGGUGUGGCAUCGAAUACUAUGUAGGGGUUUUUGUCUGAAUUAGUUGUUUGUAUUGUGUCACCACUGCUGGAGGAGGGUAAGCUCCAUUUUUUUUUCUUGUCUAGUUUUCUCCUCCUUUCUAUCAGUACUCUCAUUAAGGCGGGUCUUUGUUAAUCACCUUGUUAUCCAUUGUUGCAUUCACUUUACUUAUUUACUUAUUGACCAACCAGUUGAGCAUAAAGAGUCACAGUCACAGAGUACUCAACUAGUUGGUUGAAAGUAAAUCAUGGUCUGGUUUUUUUACUUUCUGGACCUGAAAUUGCCACCUCUGCUUAUCGAAUUGACAGAUGCACAAUGAAAUUGCACAUUGAAUUACCAAUUGCAAAAUGAAUUGUCAUUUGAAAUUUGGUGCCAAAUAUCUUCCAUUAUUAAUAGGAAGUUAACUUUUACUUUUGUGGUUAUUAAGUGUUUAUGGGUGAGGUUAGUGUUCUGUUUUCUUUAUUGCUUUGGCCUAGCAUACCAAGCUUACCCAAAGAGAUAUGGCAUGUUUGUUUGUCCUCAUGUGUGUCUGGACAUACCUGUAAAUCAGGGCUACUCAUUGCUACAGUACUCCUGCUACCACCCUGCAGAGCUUAGGUGCAGCCCUAGUAUAACACGUCUGAACCAGAUAAAGAAGUCUUUCAGUAGCAUCUCAGUAUUAGAGCAGCUAUAUGUAAUAUAAAGCACAUCUUGUGUUAAUUCACAUAUCGGAUGCACAUUUAUCCUAUUAUGUAGGGUGCCAAUGAACCACUUGUGCAAAGUGCCAACAUAGAACCCAAUUAUAUCCUCUCAACACCAUCAAUUUUGUAGGCCUUCAUGAUGAACAAUUGCAUUCAAACAACUAACCAAAACAAAUAACUGCUGAAUUCAUGCAUACAGAGGAUUAGUGUGGUAAAAAUGAAGAAUUCAAAAGCAUAAUGACUGUAAAAAGCAACACUGGCUAUGGCCAGAUCUAGAAGGGCAUGCAGGCACCCCCGUGGUUCAGUCACUUAUACUCGUGCACGGCAGUAAACGCUGCAAUGGCUCUUGGGAUCGGUUCGCAAACCGUUCGUUUUAGUCACCAACCGAAUGUCCGAAAACCGUAAGUUCGAUUCGUUCUCGAACGGGUUAAAGUGAUUAAAGUGACUCUGAUUAACCCCUAAACGAACGGUUUGCGAACCGAUCCCAGAGUCAUUGCGGCGUUUACUGCCGUGCACGAAUAUAAGUGACUGAACCACGGGUAUUAUUACACAGGCUUAAUAAUAAUAACAAUAAUAAUAAUAAUAAUAAAUAGUUAUUACAGGACAUGUGAAUUGUAUGUAUGGUCUGUUUUACAGUCUAGUUUUUUCAAAAAUUUCGCUGGAGAAAUAUAACACAUUUGCACUUUUAUUUUAAUACAGGAAUUAAAAGACGAGCGAGUAAUUGGACCCUUGAAAUGACAUGAAAAGUACAGUAAUAAUACUGUAAGCAGUCACAUACAAUAAGCACAAAUAAAUGUGUACAACAUUUUUGUAGAACACCAGCGCCAUCUUUCAGUCAAAUAACGUAACCUUGAGACACCGUUCGAUUUAUUAUCCGAUCCCGUGAUUCGUUGAGUCAUACGGUCAGGCGCAAAAAAAGACGAAAAAAAAUAGUGAAUCAUAGAAUCGAUUCAU